rnacentral:rRNA from 1 species
GUGCCAGCAGCCGCGGUAAUACGUGGGGUGCGAGCGUUAUCCGGAUUUACUGGGCGUAAAGAGUUCGUAGGCGUUUUCCUAAGUUUCGUUUGAAAGACCGAGGCUCAACUUCGGGACCGGACGAAAUACUAGAAGAAUUGAGUUAGCUAGGGGGUACUGGAAUUGAUAGUGUAGCAGUGAAAUGCGUUGAUAUUAUCAAGAACACCAAGGGCGAAGGCAGGUACCUGGGGCUAUACUGACGCUGAGGAACGAAAGCUAGGGGAGCGAAAGGGAUUAGAAACCCCUGUAGUCC